UCCUUGCACUCUUUUAAAUACGUUCUCCUAGCUACCUCCUUUUCUUGUAUCCCACAUGAUGCAACUCAGCCUCAGGCCUCCUGCUUCUGUUGGCUCUCAUGAUUCCUUAGAGCCUAGUACUGCUUCGCUAUUCAUUGCUACUAAGUCUUCCUUCUUCGAAAUGGGUGACAUGGGAAAUUUCUUGGCUGUCUCCAGAGAUGUGGAAAAGAGAUGAGAGUUGUCUUCAACGAGACAACUUCUUCAUUUUCUUUUCGUUCUGUGGAGACUAUCAGUGCAAGUGCUGAGCUAAAUUAUUUUACAUUACCAGUGUUUUAAUGGUAUAUAGAUAUAUAUAAACAUGUGAUUAAGUUAGAAACUUUCAUGCGUUUUCUUGUAUUUUGGUUCAGCUCUUGAGAUUUGUUAGCAACUAAGCUGUAUCAGAUAUGCACUUUACUUGCAUAGUAGCAGUUCAAUCUACUAUGGAUUGUUUACAAUGCGAACUUUAUUUUUAUAUAAUGAUUGUAUCCCAAUAAAUCUUUGAGUUCAGAUAUGACUUUAUCAUUUUCUUAAUUCUUAGUCUGUGCUAUAGAAUGUUGUCUACAAAUUUCGAUUAGGUUUUAUGAUUUCCUUCAAAAAUGCUAGAUGUUCAAUGUCGCAGAAGAGGGCUAUUUCCUAGGAGAAAGAAUUGUAGAGGACUCAACUCUUAAUAGAUUUAGAAGCUGCAAGCAUAGAUCUGUCUAUCUGCAAGUGAAACUGUGCAAGUUUGGUUACAAAUGGUGUAGUUGACAAAACCAGUUUAAGGGUCUAAUUAAGUAUGUUGAUUUUAUACUUCAACA